rnacentral:misc_RNA from 1 species
UGUGACAGUCGACUAAAUGAGGUAACAGAAAGGGUGGCAGCCGAUAAACGUGAGGUUGAGGCAUUCGCCAAGAAAUACGAGGAGAAAUACAAGCAGUCUGGGGAUGUAGCCUCUAAGUUAUCUAUUGAAGAGGCCACAUUUCGCGAUAUUCAGGAGAAGAAAAUGGAAUUGUAUCGGGCGAUCGUUAAAAUGGAACAAGGAGGCACUGCUGAUGAUGCUUUCAAGGAGCGAGCUGAGAAUAUCCAGUCAAGUCUUGAGGAACUAGUAAAAAGUGUGAAUGAACGCUGUAAACAAUAUGGAUUGCG